rnacentral:rRNA from 1 species
CAGUAGCCGCGGGAAGACAGAGGAUGCAAGCGUUAUCCGGAAUGAUUGGGCGUAAAGCGUGCGCAGGCGGUUGUGUAAGACAGGUGUGAAAUCCACGGGCUUAACCUGGGAAUGGCGCUUGUGACUGCAAAGCUAGAGUGCGGCAGAGGGGGAUGGAAUUCCGCGUAUAGCAGUGAAAUGCGUAGAUAUGCGGAGGAACACCGAUGGCGAAGGCAAUCCCCUGGGCCUGCACUGACGCUCAUGCACGAAAGCGUGGGGAGCAAACAGGAUUAGAUACCCCAGUAGUCCCUGUCUCUUAUAC